CCUACGGGAGGCAGCAGUAAGGAAUAUUGGUCAAUGGACGGAAGUCUGAACCAGCCAUGCCGCGUGCAGGAAGACGGCCCUAUGGGUUGUAAACUGCUUUUGCAGGGGAAUAAACCUUCUUACGUGUAAGAAGUUGAAUGUACCUUGAGAAUAAGGAUCGGCUAACUCCGUGCCAGCAGCCGCGGUAAUA
rnacentral:rRNA from 1 species